CGCGCAGACCGCCUUAUCGUCGUUCCAAUUUAUUGGGAGGGAGGAAAGUCCGGACACCACAGAGAAGCAUAGCGGGUAACACCCGUCGGUCUCGUCCCGAAGUCUCGGGAUCGGGAUUAGGACAAGUGCAGCAGAAAGUAUGUACAGGUAAUGCUGUAGUGAAAACAGGUAAACUCUAUGCGGUGAAAUACCAAGUAUAUCAGCAUUUAAGGGCUUCUCGUCCGUUGCUGAAGGGUAGGUAGCUUGAGUCAUGCAGUAAUGCAUGAUCUAGAUAAAUGAUAAGGUAUUGUCUCGUUGUAAAAUGAGACAAGAACAGAAUCCGGCUUAUAGGUCUGCAUUUUUU
rnacentral:RNase_P_RNA from 1 species